GAGUUUGAUCAUGGCUCAGGAUGAACGCUGGCGGCGUGCCUAACACAUGCAAGUCGAGCGAUCUUCUUCGGAAGAGAGCGGCGGACGGGUGAGUAACGCGUGGGUAACCUGCCUCAUACACAUGGAUAACAUACCGAAAGGUAUGCUAAUACAAGAUGAUAUAAGAGAUUCGCAUGGAUUUCUUAUCAAAGCUCCGGCGGUAUGAGAUGGACCCGCGUCUGAUUAGCUAGUUGGUAAGGUAACGGCUUACCAAGGCGACGAUC
rnacentral:rRNA from 1 species